rnacentral:rRNA from 1 species
UACGUAGGGGGCGAGCGUUGUCCGGAAUCAUUGGGCGUAAAGAGCGUGUAGGCGGUUCGGUAAGUCCGCCGUGAAAACCUGGGGCUCAACCCCGGGCGUGCGGUGGAUACUGCCGGACUAGAGGGUGGUAGAGGCGAGUGGAAUUCCCGGUGUAGCGGUGAAAUGCGCAGAUAUCGGGAGGAACACCAGUAGCGAAGGCGGCUCGCUGGGCCAUUCCUGACGCUGAGACGCGAAAGCGUGGGGAGCAAACAGG